rnacentral:lncRNA from 1 species
GUGGCUCAUUGGCCAGGUGUAGGUCCACUGUCUCAAACAUCCCUAAUCCCAUCACCCAGGAGUGUAACAGUCGGCUUGUGCUCUUCCCGACUUUGUAGUUAGUACUGAAAAUUUAAGUAUAAAUGACAGGUUUUGAUUUUUAAGACAUUGUUUCUCUUUGUAGCCACAUAUGGCCCAGACUCAAAUCCACCUGCCUGGAAUUAAAGCCAGCUGAGGCCAGUUAUCUGAGUUAAUAACAUAUACAAAGCUCUCCUCACAGGAUUCUUAUCCAUAUUGAUUCAGUCCUGGAAAUAACAAGGCCGAUGGCAUAGACCUGUUAUCCUAAUUCCUUAGGAGGCUGAGGCUGGACCACACACUCAGGUCGUAGUGAACAAAUUUAAGAUCUACCUAAAAGCAACAGGGCAGGAUAGCUCAGUACCACGCCCUCCUGGUAGCAACAACUUUCUAACCUGUCCUAAAGGACCCUAUGCCUUCGGGCAGACAUAUAUACAGGCAAAACACCAAAGUUUAAAAUAGCUCAGUUGUAGAGCACUCUCCAACACUACAGCAAGAUGAUAAAACCUCAUUUCUACAAUGAGAACAAAAGCUUAGUAAUAAAAAGGCUGGGAUGUCUUUCUCUCC